rnacentral:rRNA from 1 species
AUACGUAGGUGACAAGCGUUAUCCGGAUUUACUGGGCGUAAAGGGCGUGUAGGCGGUCUUGCAAGUCAGAAGUGAAAUUCCUGAGCUCAACUCGGGCGCUGCUUCUGAAACUGCAGGACUUGAGUGCUGGAGGGGAUAGCGAAAUUCCUAGUGGAGCGGUAAAAUGCGCAGAUAUUAGGAAGAACACCGGUGGCGAAGGCGGCUAUCUGGACAGUAACUGACGCUGAGGCGCGAAAGCGUGGGGAGCAAACAGGAUUAGAUAUCCUGGUAGUCCACGCCGUAAACGAUGAAUACUAGGUGUAGGGGGUAUCGACUCCCUCUGUGCCGCAGUUAACACAAUAAGUAUUCCGCCUGGGGAGUACGGCCGCAAGGUUGAAACUCAAAUGAAUGGACGGGG